ACGGGUGUAGCUCAACUGGUAGAGUAGUGGUCUCCAAAACCAUUGGUUGUGGGUUCGAGUCCUACCACCCGUGCUA
rnacentral:tRNA from 1 species